rnacentral:rRNA from 1 species
AGAGGGUGCAAGCGUUAAUCGGAAUUACUGGGCGUAAAGCGAGCGUAGGUGGCUUGAUAAGUCAGAUGUGAAAUCCCCGGGCUUAACCUGGGAACUGCAUCUGAAACUGUUAGGCUAGAGUAGGUGAGAGGGAAGUAGAAUUUCAGGUGUAGCGGUGAAAUGCGUAGAGAUCUGAAGGAAUACCGAUGGCGAAGGCAGCUUCCUGGCAUCAUACUGACACUGAGGCUCGAAAGCGUGGGUAGCAAACAGGAUUAGAUACCCUGGUAGUCCACGCCGUAAACGAUGUCUACUAGUCGUUGGGUCCCUUGAGGACUUAGUGACGCAGCUAACGCAAUAAGUAGACCGCCUGGGGAGUACGGCCGCAAGGUUAAAACUCAAAUGAAUUGACGGGGGCCCGCACAAGCGGUGGAGCAUGUGGUUUAAUUCGAUGCAACGCGAAGAACCUUACCUGGUCUUGACAUAUCUAGAAUCCUGCAGAGAUGCGGGAGUGCCUUCGGGAAUUAGAAUACAGGUGCUGCAUMGGCUGUCGUCACUCGUGUCGUGAGAUGUUGGGUUAAGUCCCGCAACGAGCGCAACCCUUGUCCUUAGUUACCAGCGGGUUAAGCCGGGAACUCUAAGGAUACUGCCAGUGGCAAACUGGAGGAAGGCGGGGACGACGUCAAGUCAUCAUGGCCCUUACGACCAGGGCUACACACGUGCUACAAUGGUAGGUACAAAGGGCUGCUACACAGCGAUCUGCUCCGAAUCUCAAAAAGCCUAUCGUCACUCCACCUUGGAGUCUGCAACUCGACUCCAUCGAGUAGAUCGCUA